CCUACGGGCGGCAGCAGUGGGGAAUAUUGGACAAUGGGGGCAACCCUGAUCCAGCCAUGCCGCGUGUGUGAAGAAGGCCCUCGGGUUGUAAAGCACUUUCAGUGAGGAAGAACGCCUGGUGGUUAAUACCCAUCAGGAAAGACAUCACUCACAGAAGAAGCACCGGCUAACUCCGUGCCAGCAGCCGCGGUAAUACGGAGGGUGCGAGCGUUAAUCGGAAUUACUGGGCGUAAAGCGCGCGUAGGUGGCUUGAUAAGCCGGCUGUGAAAGCCCCGGGCUCAACCUGGGAACGGCAUCCGGAACUGUCAAGCUAGAGUGCAGGAGAGGAAGGUAGAAUUCCCGGUGUAGCGGUGAAAUGCGUAGAGAUCGGGAGGAAUACCAGUGGCGAAGGCGGCCUUCUGGACUGACACUGACACUGAGGUGCGAAAGCGUGGGUAGCAAACAGGAUUAGAUACCCCAGUAGUC
rnacentral:rRNA from 1 species